rnacentral:rRNA from 1 species
AGUGAACGCUGGCGGUAGGCCUAACACAUGCAAGUCGAACGGCAGCACAGUAAGAGCUUGCUCUUACGGGUGGCGAGUGGCGGACGGGUGAGGAAUACAUCGGAAUCUACUUUUUCGUGGGGGAUAACGUAGGGAAACUUACGCUAAUACCGCAUACGACCUACGGGUGAAAGCAGGGGAUCUUCGGACCUUGCGCGAUCGAAUGAGCCGAUGUCGGAUUAGCUAGUUGGCGGGGUAAAGGCCCACCAAGGCGACGAUCCGUAGCUGGUCUGAGAGGAUGAUCAGACACACUGGAACUGAGACAGGGUCCAGACUCCUACGGGAGGCAGAAGUGGGAAAUAUUGGACAAUGGGCGCAAGCCUGAUCCAGCCAUACCGCGUGGGUGAAGAAGGCAUUCGGGUUGUAAAGCCCUUUUGUUGGGAAAGAAAAGCAGCAGGUUAAUACCCCGCUGUUCUGACGGUACCAAAAGAAUAAGCACCGGCUAACUUCGUG